rnacentral:tRNA from 1 species
UACGUUGUGGUCUAGUGGUUAGGAUUUGCGGCUAUCACCCGCAAGGCCCGGGUUCGAUUCCCGGCAACGGAA